UUGAGACCGGUGGUGGUGUUAGGAGGAGAGGUGAUGGCAACAACCAGGGCUUUAUAACUCUGGGGAUGGAAGGGGCCAGAGCUGGGUGACUAAAACUCAGAGGUGGGUCGAUAGAAGAUGAAGGCAAGGUUGCAUGGAAACUGAGGAGAAAACAAGCAUGAGGACAAGAAUAGUACUACCUUGUAGGCCUGUGCGAGGGUACGCUUGUUUGGCAAUGAUCAAAUCCAGGGCCUCGUGCACACUAGGUGUGUUUAGGAGUUUAUGUUAUGAACUUGGGCGUGUGCAUUGUGCUGGGAAUUUAUGACCUUCAAACUAAACAGGGAUGCAGAGUUAUGAAAGUCCCGCCCAGGCGAGUGUCCCCAGCUGCUCCUGCUGAGUAACAGUAAACAGACGCACACAAGCUACUUUGGCACCCGGAAGUGGGAAGAAAGUUCCAGAAACUGGAUUUUCCCAUUCAAACUCAUCUUUCUUCAAGUUUGGCACCCCUGCUAAGGGAGGCUCCCAAUCUGCCAUCCUGUCUUUCCCCUGACCUGGUUUUCACAUCUGACCCUUGAACUCCUGCUGAGACCUCCAGCCCCUUCCCUGCCCUGUUCUUUGCCUGUGCAGUCCUUUGGGCAGCCCCUGCCCUGGCUGUCCUUCCAGGGAGAAAGCCUGCCAACCCGUCCUACAUGUCUGGCACUGUGCCAGGUGGGCCUCUAGGACAACGUCUGGUUUCAAACACUGCUUUUACCUGCCACCUUGCUCACACACCCAAAGCCCCUCUGUUGGCAAAGUUAGAGUUUAAAUCCCUUCUCCUGGCAGCCUCCUGCUGUAUUUGUAUAAAGUUGCUGUCUAGCCAAAUUGAUCUGUCUGUAGCUCCCUGCUAUGAUUUGGGUUCGGUUUGAAUGAGGCCCCCAGAGGUCCACGUCUGGGAGCUUGGCCCUCAGUGUAGUAGUGCUGAGGUGAGGGGAACUGUAAGAGGUGUGACCUCAUGGCUCUUAGGUCAUUGGAGAGGCUGUCCUCAGAAGGGACCAGGGUAGUUUUCCUGGUAGUUUCCCUGAAUGUUUGUCAGAGUCAUUUGUUAUAAGAGCAAAGCUGACUCCUGAAUGACUCUCGGGCUUCUUGUUUUGUGAUGUGAUCUCAUGUUCAUGCA